rnacentral:rRNA from 1 species
UGAGUAACGCGUGGGUAACCUGCCCUUAAGUCUGGGAUACCAUUUGGAAACAGAUGCUAAUACCGGAUAAAAGCUACUUUCGCAUGAAAGAAGUUUAAAAGGCGGCGUAAGCUGUCGCUAAAGGAUGGACCUGCGAUGCAUUAGCUAGUUGGUAAGGUAACGGCUUACCAAGGCGAUGAUGCAUAGCCGAGUUGAGAGACUGAUCGGCCACAUUGGGACUGAGGACACGGCCCAAACUCCUACGGGAGGCAGCAGUCC